GAUAAAUGGCUGAGUGGUUUAAAGCACCAAUUUUGAAAAUUGGCAUAGUAUAUAGUUAUCGAAGGUUCGAAUCCUUCUUUAUCCAU
rnacentral:tRNA from 1 species